GGGAAUAUUGGACAAUGGGCGCAAGCCUGAUCCAGCAAUGCCGCGUGGGUGAAGAAGGUUUUCGGAUUGUAAAGCCCUUUCGGCGGGGACGACGAUGACGGUACCCGCAGAAGAAGCUCCGGCUAACUUCGUGCCAGCAGCCGCGGUAAUACGAAGGGGGCUAGCGUUGCUCGGAAUGACUGGGCGUAAAGGGCGCGUAAGCGGUUUGCACAGUCAGAUGUGAAAUUCCUGGGCUUAACCUGGGGGCUGCAUUUGAUACGUGUAGGCUUGAGUGGGGAAGAGGGUCGUGGAAUUCCCAGUGUAGAGGUGAAAUUCGUAGAUAUUGGGAAGAACACCGGUGGCGAAGGCGACACACUGGCUCACUACUGACGCUGAGGCGCGAAAGCGUGGGGAGCAAA
rnacentral:rRNA from 1 species